GAUGAGAUAUUCCUGUAUCUCCGAGUGGUGAUAGUUUUCAUCCAGGUCCAUUAUUGAGAUUUGCAGAGAUUUUUAGACUUUCGGUCAAAUCUGAGAAGACGUCAAAAAAUAUUGUCACAGCCUGUUGAUGACAUUUCAUGUCAGUAUCGUCGUGAUCAUUCGUUCGACUUGUUUUGCUUAGUUACGAUCACAAGUUAAUUUUACUACUAAACAACUACCUGAACACAUUCAACUCCUUGAGAUGGCAGAGAUUAUUACGGAAGUAACACGUCGAAGAGCAUCAAAAAACACCAACCACGCUUUAUAUGGGUAUUAUUUCCUCGGCCUACGGAAGCUGAGCUGUCCAGAUUAUAAGCACAAAUCCACUGUUCAUAAAU